rnacentral:misc_RNA from 1 species
CGGACGGGCGGGCGCUUGUCGCCGGGGGCGAGGCGGGCGAGCUGAACUUGUUGGCUCCGCCGCCUCAGCCGAGCCUGCUGUGUCAGCAGCUGUACGCGCAUGACCUCGGGGUUUUGAGCUGUGAUUUCGCGGAUAGUUUUGAAAAUUCCGAAUCUGAAGACGAGAAGUCUACGCUACUACUGGCGACGGGAGGUCGUGACGCGUUAGUGAAGCUGUGGUGGGUGAGGUUGAGCGUGGAUGAGACUGGCGCGCAGACGGGUGCUCUGGAGCUGGCGAGCAGUCUGGCG